rnacentral:rRNA from 1 species
UGGGGAAUCUUGCGCAAUGCGCGAAAGCGUGACGCAGCAACGCCGCGUGGGGGAAGAAGGCCUUCGGGUUGUAAACCCCUUUCAGUUGGGACGAAGCUUCGUCGGUGAAUAGCCGGCUGGAGUGACGGUACCUUCAGAAGAAGCCCCGGCUAACUACGUGCCAGCAGCCGCGGUAAUACGUAGGGGGCAAGCGUUGUCCGGAAUCAUUGGGCGUAAAGAGCGUGUAGGCGGCCUGGUAAGUCCGCUGUGAAAGUCCAGGGCUCAACCCUGGAAUGCCGGUGGAAACUGUCAGGCUCGAGUCCGGAAGAGGCGAGUGGAAUUCCUGGUGUAGCGGUGAAAUGCGCAGAUAUCAGGAGGAACACCAAUGGCGAAGGCAGCUCGCUGGGACGGUACUGACGCUGAGACGCGAAAGCGUGGGGAGCAAACA